GUGAGUCAUCGAAUCUUUGAACGCAUAUUGCGCCCUCUGGUAUUCCGGGGGGCACACCUGUUCGAGCGCCAUUUCAACCCUCAAGCAUUGCUUGGUGUUGGGAAGGGUCCUAGGGGACCCACCCAUAACUCGUAGGCGGUUACUGCCUCGCACCCCCAGCGUAGCAAGCUUACGCACUCGCUCGGGGUCGGUGUGUGACCUUGCCUUUUGCAAAUAACCUCUCAAAGGUUUGGCCUCGGAUCAGGUGGGGAUACCCGCUGAACUUAAGCAUAUCAAUAAGCGGAGGA
rnacentral:misc_RNA from 1 species